GCCAGGGGAGGCUUGGAGCUUCCUUCCCCGAGACAUUCUGCUGGCACCGGGCAGAGAGAAAGCCGCGGGCGCCCGAGCCGGCCUGCGCUCCUCCGCCGCUGCCCCCGCAGGACCUGCGCCCCAAACACCGCGGGCUCAAAGAUCCACCCAACGCCACUGGACAUCUGUCCCGUGGGGAGCACGGUCAGGAGCUUUAGCGAGACAAUUUGUAAACCAUGAAAUUCACACUCACAGUUGCCCAGUUGCAUACAGUGCAGCGGUUUUCAGCAUACUCACAAUAUAUGCGGCUGUCGCCACAGUAAAUUUCAGGCAGUUUUCAUCGUCCCAAAAAGAAACCCUGGAGCCAGGCGUGGUAGCUCAUGCCUAUACCACUACUACCAUAACAGCACUUGAGAAGCUGAGGCAGGAGGAUUGACAAGAGCUCAAUGCCAACCUGGGCUAUCCAGUGAGUUCCAGCAUUCCACUCUUGACACCCAAGUGGUCAGAACGGAAUUCUACAAGCAGAGGCAUCCCAGGAGCCCAUGCACCACAGACAUCACACAGGAAGAGGCUUCUGGCCAAAUGGCCCCUAAAAUGCUCCCCCACCUGAGCCAUUUUCUACAGAAUUGGCUGACUCAUCCCAGAUACCAAAACCUGGCACAAGCAACAGACCCCAUGUGUCUGAGAAGAGCAGAAAGUGUCCCUGUUCCCCGAGGCCAUGGUCAUAUCUGUUCUCUCUAUCCCCUGCCCCCUGUUGGUUCCCAGUAUAUCUGGAAGAAGUGUCUCAAGAUUCCCACUGAGGGCUGAAGAGAUGGCUUAGCUGUUAAGCGCUUGCCUAUGAAGCCUAAGGACCCCGGUUCGAGGCUCCGUUCCCCAGAACCCACAUUAGCCAGAUGCACA